rnacentral:tRNA from 11 species
GACCCUGCAGGGGGUUUGAACUCCAAACAUCUGACCUGUGAGGUGAGCGUGUUACCACUACUCCACCAGCGC